ensembl:lncRNA
AUUUAACCAGGUAGGCUAGUUGAGAACACCUUUAUUUAACCAGGUAGGCCAGUUGAGAACACCUUUAUUUAACCAGGUAGGCUAGUUGAGAACACCUUUAUUUAACCAGGUAGGCCAGUUGAGAACACCUUUAUUUAACCAGGUAGGCUAGUUGAGAACACCUUUAUUUAACCAGGUGGGCUAGUUGAGAACACCUUUAUUUAACCAGGUAGGCUAGUUGAGAACACCUUUAUUUAACCAGGUAGGCUAGUUGAGAACACCUUUAUUUAACCAGGUAGGCCAGUUGAGAACACCUUUAUUUAACCAGGUAGGCUAGUUGAGAACACC